rnacentral:lncRNA from 1 species
UACAAGCUCAUUCGGAAACUGGUUCUAUCGUCUAGUUCAAAGUAUAUAAAGUACUUAAGGAGUGUUCUUUCAGCAUCCUCAUCCGAAAGUUGGAUUGCCUCGCCCGAUUUAUUAGGUGGCUGACUGCGUGUGAAUUCCCCCACAUCAGUUGUGAAACGAACCUAUAAGAAAAAUUAUAUUGAAUUAGUAUUUCAAAAUUUAUAUAAAAGUAAAUCAAAAUACUUAAUGAAAAGUAAAAAACAUACAUGUAUAGUCGAUGCUCGAUCCUUGACCCACCUUUCUGAAUUAGUCUCUUUCUUCUUCUUUACAAUAUGAGUUCUAUUGAAUAGCUCAUGAUAUUGCUUCAUUUGCAUCAUAAAGUUGUCUGGUGGCUUUGGUGAUUAUUCUCGUGGUACUAUUACUCGGGAUGAACUUGAAUAUAGAGAAUAACUUGGAUAUAGUACCUGACAAGGUGUGCAUUUGAUCAAUUAUUCUUCUCAUUUGCGGCAAUGAUGAUGAGAAUGCAAUGGCAUAUAUUUCAUAUAGUGAUGGUGUAGGUAGGAUUUAACAUUUCCUAAGUAGAUAAAAGAGGUUAUAUGUAACACCCCGUAAAUUCGCUUAGGUGUGAAUGUGGUAAAUGAGUGGUAAGGUUAUAUCUUGAACAUGUGAAGUCCCAACGGGAUGAUUGUGGGUAAAAUGGUUGUUCCAAAAAUCAAGAUGAAAAGAGAGGUGCAUAACAUUUGACAAAAUCAACUAAGUUGUAGAAGGUCUGUCUUCCAUCACGUUUUAGUGAAAAUAUGCAAGGAAUUUGGGAAAACACAAAGUAUUAAACUUGUAGGCCUUUGAAAUAGCUUUCCGACGAUAUAUUAUGGAGCCCUAACGGAUCUCUGUGCAAAAUGUAAAGUGUGUUUUUCGGAACAGUACGCGCAUGCGCGAACUAUAGCGCGAACAAGCCUCCAGGUGCGCGAACUCGCUAUUGGGAGGCAAUGUUACUCCCGUUGAGCGCGAACUCUAGCGUGAACAAGCCUCCAGGUGCAUGAAAUCGCUAUUGGAGGGUCGUUUUAAAGCUAUAUUUCGUCCCUCACGGCCCCAAAACAUAAAAACUUCCUCUAGAAAGGGGAACUCUCAAAAACCUAACUCCUCAAGAGUCCUUCCACCACCCAAGUUAAGUUCUAAUGAUGAUUCUGAGUUAAUUUUACUUUUCUAACAUCUUAUAAACAUGGGUAAACCCUCCAUAUCAUUAGAUAUUCGAUUGAGACAUCACUGUUGAGAGAAGGAAGCCUAGAACUCAAAAAUCAAAGGUUAUAACUUCGAAAAGGUAAUGUCUUUACCCUUUAAUUGAUUCUAGCAUUGGUUUAAUGAUUAUUAAUCCUAGUUCAUGAGACAUGAGUUGUUGGGGUUGAUAGAAAAGCAUGAACGAUUAUAGGGUUGGGUGUUGAGUAGUGAUUAAUAGUUAAGAGUGUUGUUUGUCUUAUGGGCGAUGAAGAAUAAUAUUGGUGUAAUCAUUUCAGACCUUAGAAUUUAUCUAGGAACAAGAGAAUGGGUUGUUGGGUGUAGAGACACCAUUAAUAAGGACUAUGAAGCUUUAUUUUACCAAGUCUUUGACAAAAUGCUUAAGUGACCAAAACAUAAGCAUUAUAGCUAAUGUGGAAUCCCUUUGACUUGUAUUGCUAUAGAUUAAAGUUGAAAGUAUUGACAAACGUUAUAUUACGCUUAAGAGCAGAAAGUUAACGUAUGUAAGGCUAACUCUCUAUGUUUAGGAAUAUUAUUGAUUCUCCCUAUGUUACGUUUCGUUACGAUCAAUUUCCUUAGAACUAUGGUUAAGCCUAGUUCCUUGAAUAAUUGUAGAACUUCUAUUCUCUAGCUUCGUAACUCGUUCAUGACUUUCAUUCUGAACAUUGUGAGCUCAGUUCAUAUUCAAUAUAGACUUGGGUUUGGUGCCCCUAAGUCCUAGUAUAGCUUACUCAGCACGUCAUAAACAGUUGAAGUUUCAGUGUUCAUAACCAGUUCAAGAAUACAUGUCUCAUUCUAGUCCUAUUUAGUAUUUCAGUAUAAUGUAACUUAGUGUAAUUCAGUAUUCCAGUAUCAUAUAACUCCGUGUGAUUCAAUAUUUCACUAUUAUGUAUAUUUCCGUAUGAUUCUCAGUUACCGAUAUUAAAUCCCUGAAUGUUGGAAACUUAUAUUUGGGCCUGAGGCGCCAACUAAUGCUUUAUGCCUCUUUGGGCCUGACGCCGCAGUUUAUGUUUUAUGCAUUUUUGACCUGAGGUCGCAGUUAUGUAUAUGUAUUCUUGGUCCCGAGGCUGCAGCUUUUAUAUAUAUAUAUAUAUANNNNNNNNNNNNNNNNNNNNNNNNNNNNNNNNNNNNNNNNNNNNNNNNNNNNNNNNNNNNNNNNNNNNNNNNNNNNNNNNNNNNNNNNNNNNNNNNNNNNNNNNNNNNNNNNNNNNNUAUAUAUAUAUAUAUAUAUAUAUAUAUUGAGGCCGUACUUUAGUAUUCAGAUAAAUAGGUUGUUUAUCAUUCAGAAGAGGGAGAAUCAUAUCCGUACUUCCUUAUUUAGUUCAAUUAUAAGAUUAUCGGUUAUCUUUUCAAUUAUAAUUGGUAGUUACCAGCUUAGUUUUAGUUUUAGCAUUUAUAAUCCUUUCUUUCAGUUGCUUUACAUACCAGUACAAUUCAAAUAUACUGACAUCCCUUUUGCCCAGGGCCUACAUCUCACAAUGCAGGUAAUGAUUUACAAGUCGAUGAUUUCAAGUGUUAGGAUUCUCGUACCAGCUAUUUGGCGAUCCUAAUUAUUUCAGGGCAUUAUCAUUACCUUACAAUCUUCAGUAAUUUCAGACAGUCAAUAUUUUCUGUAUUUUAUUAGAGGCUUCAUAGACUAGAGUAAGAGUUAGACAAAGUCAUAGGCUUUUUCAUAUUAAGCUAUGUUGGCUACAAAUAUGUUUCAGAAUUGUAUCAGUAUUUUUGCACUAUGAUCUAUAUCAUCCAGACUUUUAGUAUAUCAAAAUGUGUUAUUUUAUCUUCUGCAUUCAGUAUGCUAUGAUACUACAUGUUGAUUCAGCCAGUCAGUUGGUUCGCUCGGUCACAUGUAGUCAGGCACCGAGUGUCGUAUUACGUCCAGGCCCAGUUCGGGGCGUGACAAAGAUUGGUAUCAGAGCACUAGGUUCAAGAGUCCUAUGGAGUCUAUGAAGCCGUUUCUAGUGCAGUUUCCUUUAUAUGUGUGUGAUGGCCACUCAUAUAAACAGUUAACUACCAAGACAUUCAGGAUUAUCUCACCUUUUUCUAUUCUAGAUCGUGCCAUGAAGCUUAGAUAAAAUAGUUAACUUUCUCUUCCUAUCGAAUUCCAAACGUAUUGAACGCCCAAGUGACGGGAAAGAAAAAUCAAAGGUUUUAUAAAGGAUGAUUUCUUUUUGGGUAUAAUUCUAGAGUACAAGUUAGUAACAAAUGAGACAUCAGAGGAUGUUGGAAGUGGGAUGCAAUGGAUAGUAGUACAGAUUAGAGCAUGACCUUAUCAGAAAGUACAAAAGCAGUUAUCAUAUUUUAUGGUUACCAGUUUAUCUGAGUUACCAGUUAGCGGCCUUUCAGCUAGUAAGUUUAUGGAUAUUCAGGAUGCGAGUUAUCAGCUAUCCAGUUGCCAUAUCUCCAAUUUUCAGUGUAUCAAAAUUCCGGUGAUUGGUAAGUAUACAGUGAUGCCUAUAGGUGCUAAAAGAAAAUGUAAGUAACAAUGAUCAUAGCAAAAUCUUCGCAUGUUUUAGGUACGGAUUAAGACCAAGACUCACCAGAUGGCACACGAAGUGAAUUAUCAGAUGAUGGUAUACUUUGAAGGAUAAGUUUGUGUAUUGUAGUGUAUUUAUAUGUGUUCUACCUCCUAGAAGAACUUCAUUCAAUUUUUGGGAAUGAAGCCACAAGUUGGAUGAUGAUAGUUCUGAUGCCAGACCCUAACAUUGGUCACAAUAGUUUUGGACGGGAAAAAAAUCCUAAGGGUAAAAUACCUAGGAGUCAGAAAUGUUUAUUAUUACCAAAGAUGUGAUUUCGUACAACUCAUGUGAAUGACUAGAAGAUAUGGUGUAUGCAAUGAGAACCAAGAGCAGGCAAUAUUGAUUUUCAAGGAAUGAUUUUAUGUUGUUUAUAUUUAUUCAAAUCAGAACUAGAAGUACCACGUUAGUAAGCUACUAUAAGAAGUAGCUAUUGAUGUAAGAUAAAAGAUAUGGUAGUUCCCCUUAGCUUAUGUUACUAACUGAUUGCCCAGGAUGUUUAUAAUAUGAUAUGAUUUUGUAUAUAGAAAGAUUGGGGUUAGAUAUUCUAAUUUUGCUUAAGGCAGAUGAAUUCUCGAAGUGUGAUCCAUGCACAUAGUUUAUAAAAAAGGGAUAGUAUGCAAUAUAGAACAAGGUCGGAUGGUGAGGGAAGUUAGAAUAAUCUUAUGCUUCACUUUAGUUAUUCAAAGCAGAAGAAGAAAAUAUGAUGCUAGCAAGUGGUUAGUAAAAAGGAUAGUAAGUAAGUUUUGAGUUGAUAUAAUGGUUCGCAAUUUCAGCAGAGCUAGUAGAGGUACAAUUUGAUUCACUUAGCCAGGAUAAUCUAGUGAGUGGAUGACACCUCGAAAUACCAAACACGUUUUAGAACCCAAAGAGUUUAAGUUAAACCUGAAGUACAGUGAUAUUGGAAAAAAACAAUCAGCUAGGCAGUGAGAGAGCAAGCUAUAGAAGAAUAGCAUUUAAGAGUUAUCGAAAGGGGUUUUCUCCAGGAUUAACAGUGUGAGAAGAGUUAAAUCAUUAAUAUUGUGUAUGAUAGUUGUGAAUAUAUUAGCUUUCCGUUACGUGAAUAAUUUAUUUAUUCCUAGCUCAGAAGUAAGUUGGAAAUCAAAGCAUUAUUGAUGUAUAGUGCAAAGAAUUGCAAAAAAUAAGGAAAGUUAUUUUUAUCUCGACAAAAAGAGAAGGAUCUUCAAGUAUAAGACCAUAGCUUUUGAACAAGGGGGAGAUGAUGGUACUUUGAGGUACCAAGACAAAUCGUGUGUUCUAGGCAUAGGUGGACUUAAAGAGGGAAGAUCAUGUUAGAAGCCCAUAAUGCUAGGUAUUCUUUCCAUCCAGGUUCCCCAAAUAUGUAUCAUGACCAAGGAGAUUGAUUGGCUGAACGACAUGAAAAAGAACGUCGCAGACUUUGUGGCCAAUUGUCCCAAGUGUCAGCAAGUGAAAAUCGAGCAGUAGAAAGCCUAGUGUUUUAUCACAUAAUACAUAUAUCUUGAGUGGAGAGGGUAAAUAUGAAAUUUAUAAUAGGAUUAUCUUGCUUAUUUUAAAAGUAUGAUUUGAUUGAAUGAUUAUAAAAUGACUUACCAAUUUAGCACACUUCUUACCAAUAAACACAUCAAAUUCAGUAGAAGGUUAUACCAAGUUGUACAUUCAAGAAAUCGUCUGACGUAUAGGACUUCGUUGUCCGUCAUUUCAGAUUGUGGUGCUUAGUUUCCAAUGAACUUUUAGUAGACCUUUCAGAAAGGACUAGGCGAGUUUUUCAUCCUCAGAAAGAUGGCUAGGUAGAGCGCAUUAUUCAAACAGUUGAGGAUCUGUCCUGAUGUUAAAAGUAAUUUGGAUGAUCACAUACCUCUUAUUGACCUUGCUAACAAUAACCUACCAUUAUAGAAUCAAUAUGGAAUCGUGUGAAGCUCUGUAUAGGUGAAGGUGUAGAUCACCUAUUGGUUUGUUCGAAGAUGGAGAAAUGGAGUAGUUACGACCCAAUUUGGCUUAUCAAACUAUAGAGAAAGUUAGUUGAUUCAAGAGCAUUUGAAGAAAACUCAUGUAACGACCUGGCUGGUCGUCUUUGGAAUUUAUUCUCGAUUUCCCCAUUUUCUGCUUUUCCUAAGUUCAUUUCUGCUAUUUUGGUUUGCCGGGAUGUUCGGUACGGAGUGUUUCGGCAAACUUAGUCCCUAAAUGAGAGCUUAAGUGUUGGAAAAUGGUCCAUAAUCAGAACAGUGUCAAGACGACCUCGGAAUGGAAAACUGACGGUUCCCUUAGCUUCGUUAGGUGAUUUUGGGGUGGGAGCAUGUUCGGAACGUAUUUUGGAUGUCCGAUGCUCAAUUAGGCUAUGAAUGCCGAAAGUUAGAAAUUUGAAGUUCCGGUCCUAUAGUGACUUUUUGGUAGGAAUAGAAUUACGAGAGUUGCAGUGACUUUGUUAGGUGAUUUAGGAUAUGUUUGCAAAUUUUCAGGUCAUUAGGACGUGUUUUGGAUAGGUUUUGAGUCGAAUGAGAGUUUGGCUAAGAUUUGGAGAUUUUAGGUGCAAAUCAUUGAUCAAAUGGUGUUUCCGACGUUGUUUUAGGUGAUAUAAGGAUUGGUGCAAGUCCGAAUGAUGUUAUGGGAUAGGUGUGUAUUUUGCGGCGUAGUUUUAGGUGAUCUAAGGAUUGGUGCAAGUCUGAAUGAUGUUAAUGGAUAGGUUUGUAGGUUUGGUUGAUGUCCCGGGGGCCCCGGGCUUGUUUCGGAUGCUCGACGGAGUGAUUAUUAGAUUUUUGGAAGAAAUAUUUCUGCUGUUUCUGUUGUUUCUGCGUCUGCGGAAGGGAGACAGCGUAAGCGGCUACCGCAUAUGCGACCAUGGGAUCGCGGACGCGGUUUGGGACCACAGAAGCGGAUAGGGAGCCGCAUAAGCGGCAAUCGCGGAAGCGGCGGUUUGUCCGCGGAAGCGGAAACUGAAUUUUAAUUGAAACUGCUGAAGCGGUUUUUGACCGUGAAAGCGGGACCGCAGAAGCGGUUCCUGGAGCCGCAAAAGCGAAAAUCGCUGAAGAGAAAAGGAUUUUAUCCGAGGCUUAAGUUCAUAAGUUGAAAAAUCAAAUUUUAGCUCGGACCAAGGCGAUUUUUGGAGGGUUUGAAGAGGAGACUAUUAGGUAAUGUUUCUAUGAUACUUUCUAGCUUUAAUUCAUCACUUAGUUGUUCAAUUCAUCCAUUAAAUUCAAAUUAAGGUCCAAAAUGGUGGAAAUGGGUGAAAGUUUUUUGGCUAAUUAAUUGGGUUUUUGAGGAAGCAUUUAACCUCCGAUUUGAGAUAUUUUUAUAUGGUUAGACUCGUGAGAGUACGAGAUUUCUAAAAAUGUUAAAAUUAUUCGAUUCCUAGACGUUGGCCUGAGGGGCAUUUUGGUCAUUUUACUUGUUCUCACGCCUUAGCUUUAAUUUUAAUAAUGUAAUCAGUUGCUUUCGAUGCUAAUGUAAUUAGUUUGAACAGAUUUGGGCCAAUCGGAGUCGGAUACUCGUGGCAAAGGCGUUGUUCCUUAGCGGUUUUGUACCAAAUUGAAGUAANNNNNNNNNNNNNNNNNNNNNNNNNNNNNNNNNNNNNNNNNNNNNUGUACCAAAUUGAAGUAAGUGGCUUGUCUAACCUUGUGUGGGGGAUCUCUCCCCUUAGGAUAUAUUAAUUGUUGUUUAAAGGCCUCGUGCACGAGGUGACACGCGUGUACUUGUGCUAAUUGCUGAAAAUUCACCAUACUUGACUUAUUUAGACUGUGUUUCUUUGUCUAUUUAACUGUUAAAAAUGUUAUUCUACUUGCUUAGCUUAGGAAAAAUAUGUUAGUAAUUUAUUUGCUCUAUCUAACUAAAUUGCAAAUAUCUGCCCUCUUUGUGAGCAUGCUAGGCCUAAACCUUUACAUUGUUUCUAUAUUUUGUUUCUUUCUAUUAAAUAUUGACUUGUUGUGAAAUGUGAAGUGUAUACGUUUGGAAAUAUGGGUUCAAUUCCCGGGAGAUCCCCCUAUUAUUGGUAUGUUGGACUACGGGUUAAAUUCCCGGGAGAUCCUCGGAUUCUGGCAUGACGGACUAUGGGUUCAAUUCCCGGAAGAUCCUCUGAUAUUGAUAUAAAGGACUGCGGGUUUAAUUGCCGGAGAUCCUCUGGUACUGGUAUGAAGGACUGGGGGUUCGAUUCGCGGGGAUCCUCGGAUAUUGAUAAGGUGGACUGCGGGUUCGGUUCCCGGGGAUCCUAGGAUAUUGAUAAGGUGGACUGCGGGUUCGAUUCCUGGAGCUCCAUGUGGAGAUCCUGACUGUUGAGUGAAUUUCUUUGUAUUUGUAGUUUGUACUUGUAGCCGCUCUGUUUUUUUACUACGGUCUUGUUAGAUAUUCUGUUUUAUUGUGGCUUUGUGUUCAUAGUUGUACUUGUAGUCGCUCUGUAUUUUUUAUUACGGUCUUGUUAGAUAUUUGGUUUUAUUGAGUUAUCUUCUGUUAUUUAUUUUUACAUUAUUUUUUUAUAUUCCUCUCAGUAGGGCCUUGACCUUUCUCGUCACUACUCAAUCGAGGUUAGGCUUGGAAGUUACUGAGUACCGCUGUGGUGUACUCAUGCUACUCUUCUGUACACUUUUGUUCUGCAGAUCCAGGUACAUCUGGUCAGGCGCGCUAUUAGGGAUUUGGAGUUGUUUUGGAGGCUUGAGGUAUGCAUCUGCCACAUCCGCAUAGCCGACGAGCCUUCCUCUAUUCUACCUGUAGUUUAUAGCUUUCUUUCGCAUUCUCAUUUGAUUUCGAUACUUCGGGAUGUUAGAGCACUGUAGUAUGUUUACUCUUAGUCUAUGUUGCCUGUGAGUUUUUGGGUCUUGGAGGUUUUUAUGUUAUAUUGAGUUGACAUGUAUGUGCCAGGCGGCACUCUAUACAUUAUCUUAUGUCAUUUAUGUUUUAAACUAUUGUUUCCGUAAAGACUGUCGAAUUUCCGCAAUGUGUCAGGCUUACGUAGUCGCGAAGAAUGGGUCCCGUCAUGACUGGUUCACGACUGGUGAACUAUGGUUGUGACAACUCAGAGCUGCCAAAAGUCAUAUUCGAGCGUGCGAAAUAGAGACCUAGAGUAUCAAGUUGAUGAUUGGGCGUUUUUUUUUAAAGUAUCGCCCAUGAAAGGCGUUAUGAGAUUUGGGAAGAAGGGGAAACUUAUUCCCCACUAUAUUGGUCCAUAUAGAAUCAUGAGAAGGAUCAGACAUGUAGCUUAUGAGUUGGAAUUGCCAUUAGAACUAGCUGCCGUACACCUAGUGUUCCAUGUGUCCAGGUUGAAGAAAUUCUUGGGACACCCGUCACUUGUGGUUCCUAUAGAGGCUAUAGGGGUUAAAUAAAGUCUAUCUUAUGAAGAAAUUCCAGUAGCUAUUCUUGAUCGUCAAAUUCGCAAGCUCAGAACUAAGGAAAUUGCUUCAGUAAAAGUGCUUUGGAGGAAUCAAAAGAUUGAAAAGGCUACAUGGGAAGCCGAGGAGGACGUGAAGUCCAGAUAUCCCCUUGGCUUUGAAGGGCAAAAGGAAAAUGUGGAAGGUAAUUGACCUUUCCAUUCAAUUCUUACAGGAUAAUAUCCAUGUUCUUCGGUAUUUACUCAGCUUAGUAUUUAGUGAUUAUAUGCUCAUUCAGUUGGUAUAUAUAUAUACAUAUAUAUAUAACGAACUUGUUAAAGCAAGUACAAACUUUGAGUCAAAAUUAGUAAGUCCCGGUUGAACUCGUUAAAAAUAAAGCAAAUACAAAUUUCGUUUGAGCUUUGAAUAUGAAAACCUAACGGAAAAAGCAUUUGUCUUCUUAACUAGCUUUGCCGACAUGCUUCACUGAGCUUGAGAUAUUAAAAUGCUUAAAAGGAAAAAAGAAAAAACGAAUUGCUUGUCGUGUUAUGAAGUUAUUUAAUAGUAUUAACUUUACGAUGCAUAUAAUUUUAUUCAUUAUGUUAAGUCUCCAUUCUCAUGAUACCUAAAUAAUACCUUAAUGAUUCAAAUUCCUCAAAUCUAUAUCUAUCUAUAUAUAAAUAUAAAUAUAAAGCUGGGCAUUAAGAAUCUGAUGUGGCGCUCUCACAAUUUAGGAUUCUGAUUUAUCUAAUUUCUCAAAUUUUUUGGCUUUUCACUAUUUUUUAAUUGUUGUAAUACAUUAAAAAAAUCCAAAAGGUACAUCAUUUAAGGAAAGAUGAAACGGUUCAUUUUUAAUAGGGGUAUACAAACAAAACCGAUAAACCGCACCAACCCGAUAAUCCGAGUCAAACCGAGAAAAAAAACCCGACUAUANNNNNNNNNNNNNNNNNNNNNNNNNNNNNNNNNNNNNNNNNNNNNNNNNNNNNNNNNNNNNNNNNNNNNNNNNNNNNNNNNNNNNNNNNNNNNNNNNNNNNNNNNNNNNNNNNNNNNNNNNNNNNNNNNNNNNNNNNNNNNNNNNNNNNNNNNNNNNNNNNNNNNNNNNNNNNNNNNNNNNNNNNNNNNNNNNNNNNNNUAAAUAUUUCUUAAAAAAUUUCAUAAUUUUAUCUUUUAAGGUAUUAUUUCAAGGUUUGAUUUAAAACUUUUGAAUGCUCCAAUAAGUUUUAUAGCCAUUUAGUAAAUUAAAUAAUGCUAGCAAUCAAUACUAAUGCUAACAAAAGACAUUCAAUUCAAUAUUACGAAAUGUCUAUUUUUUAUUUUACAAUAAUUUAGAUCAAAAUACAUAAUAUUUUUUUAUUUUUCUUUAGCCUUUAGGCAUAUAAUUAAAACUCCCUCAUUAGUCUAUCUAGUUUAGCAUGAAUUAGUGCUUUUAGAUUAUGUUUAAUUUUGUUAUGACUUUUUAAUUAGCAAUAUUUAUAGUACAUAAUUUUAUUACUUUUUAUUGUUGAAUAUUGGAUAAUGUCAUGAGUCAUGACAUAUCUCAUAUUUUGUAUUAUUUUCUUGAAAAAUACUUUGUAUAAGUUGUAUCUUACUAGGAUUAAAGAAAUAUUUUGAGCAUACGUUAUAUAUUUUGUUCUACGAAGAUUUUACCGGAAAAAAAAUCGAAAAAACCCGAAUAACCCGAAAAAACCCGAGAAAAACCGAUAUCAAAAAACCCGAAUUUAUUGGUUUGGUUUGGUCUUUAAAUUUAAUAAACCGACACAAUUGAUUUGGUUUGGUAAUUGUAAAAUCGGAAUCAACCCGAUCUAUGUACACCCCUAAUUUUUAAUGCAUUUACCAAAGAGUCCAUGACAACAGUUACUGUUGAACGGCCCUUGCAAUCCUUAAUGUUACUUUUCCAUCUCGUACCUUCCUGCAUUCCAUGUGUGAGGCUUUUUCAAAAUAUAUUUGUUCAUACUUUGACAAAGCUAAGUAUUUUAUUAUAUGCUUUCCACUAGGAAUUGACUGAAAGACAUUAUUUUCUAUGAAUUGUGAAUUAUAAAGCAUUUCAAUAUACCAUAUUCCAAGCAAUUCUCAAGGUAAGCAAAUAUGUUCUGUUUAUUUGUGUUUUUUUUUUCAAAUUUGUGAGAUUCUUUUUCUCAUAAAACCUUGAAUAUGUAUGUCGAUGUUCUUUUUGACAUUCUGAUCAAAAUUGUUUAAUGACGUAAUGUAAAGGAAAAAAGAGAUUUUUACAAGAAGCUUUUCUGAUGGGGUUAUUGAACAAAUCAAAAUUUUGAUGAUAUUUUAUAGAAUAUAGGAAUAUAAAAGUUGAUAGGCUGAAAUUUCAGAAAUUGAAUAAAUUGUUUAAUUGAUGUGGGUUUCUAGCAGGUUUUAUUUUUCCUAUUUCGAAACUCGGUUUGGGAUGAGAAAAUUGUUUGUCUUUACAAAAAUCUGUAUCAGUUAUUUAUUUUGAAGUAUACGAAUUCGAUUAUGUAUAUGAGUUGUGGAAAGAGGCUAACUUAUUUGAUAGUAUUUCUCUACUUUCCAUCUCAAUUCUACACAUAGGUACAAAAAAUGCUACUCCUUGCAAUUUACUUAUGGGUUGUUUGAUACUAUGGUGAAAUAUCGUAGGAUAUCUCAUGUGAUAAGAUAUCCCACGAAAUUAGUUAUGCUAUGUUUUAUAGUGUAAAAGUUAUCGCGAAUUUAGCUAAUACCUCAAAUCAAAUAUAAUAUAAAAUGAAUUCAAAAUUUUAUUCCAGAAUUAUUAUUCUUUAUCUCAUGUAUCACAUGACCCAUAAUGGGAAGUUAACAAAGCGUGUAUCUUACGGUUCCAUUAAUAAAUUUAUUAUGCAUUUAAUUUUCAAUUUUUUGGUUUUCUAACCCUCAUUCAAUGUAUAUUUCAUGAAAGCAAGCUUAGAUAGCAGCAUUAAAAUUAGAAAGCGCAAUUUUUUAAAUUUAUGUGAAGAAGAGGUGCUCCUACUAAAGGUUUUUGGUUUUUAAUAAAAAAUUUGUAUUUCAUUCAUAUAAAUUUUUUUCUCUCAAUUUACGACUAAUGAUAAUUUAAAUGUUUUUACUUGUGUAAUUAGUAACUUUAAGAUGAAUUUACAUAAUUCUAAUCUAAACUUUAGUUCUCAUUUUUCAUUAAUACUCUUUGAACUUCUUAAUUAGAUAAAACUUAAAUGAGUUAUAUUGGUAAUAUAUAGUGAACUAUACACCACAUAUAAGUAUUUAAUAUAAAUAAACAAAAUUUAUGAAUUAAACCAAAUGUAAGUUUUUUAUUAGUGUAAUGUUUAUCUAGUAAUGAGGAAAACAUAUUUAAUCCAUUAUUAGUUGCUAAUUUUUUUGUAAGUGUAUUGAUGUUGCUUAUGACUUUGUAAAUUAAUUGAUAUUGUUAAGACCGCGUGAAGUGCGAAUAAAUACUGUUAUCUUUUAUGGAUUCAAAAAGGUACUAAAAUGUGCGAAAAAGACCAACGGGAGACACGUAGGUAUGACUCACCUUUGAUUCCCCUAUAUCCUCCCUUUCAUUUUCCGUAUCUACUUUUUCUCCACCAUUAGACUUGCUGUUUGCUAGAUUUUCCCAUCAUGUUUGAGUCUUUUUCUCUUCUUCCCCUAACACAAAUCAAUUUAUUCAAAGAGAGGAAAUAGGCAUGUUCAAAAAUUACACUAUAUAAAUUAUUUAUUUAUAAUACAAUUAAAUUCAUUAUGUAGUUUAUAGACAAGCGAAUAAAUUUGAUCCGAAAAUGAUAAAUAAAUAUGACUAAAUUUAAGAUUUAGCAGUUAAAAUUAAAGAAGAUGACAAGCCUGGCUCCAAGCGCAAUGUCUCUGAAGGCAAAAGUGAAAGCAAUGAUAAAGUGCAAAUAAUUGUUUAAUUGUGAGAAAAAGUAAAAUUUUGCUUAUGUCC